CCUGGGAUAGCCCUGUUCAGGAAAAAAUAAUUUCAUGUCUUUUACACUGACUAAUAGUCACUGCAUUUUUGUUUUCGUCCCAGGAGAAUGCCAGCACAAACCAGGAGGCCAGUGACGGGCCUGAAGAAUCUGCCCCAACUUUGACAGCAACCGAUGGCAAGGAUCCACUUGAUCCAGGACAGAGAACGAGUCAAAUGCGUCAUGCUCGUCGUAUGAGGAAACUCAAAGCCCAUCACCAGAGAUGUGAGGCUCGUCACCAAAAGGCGAUGGAAGCAAAUGGAAAUCAGGAGGGUCCGUCUGUUCCGAAGAGUUGUGUGAUUUUCACAUGCCAGAAGAGGAAACCUCCACGGACAAUCUUCCCCUCACAAGUUCCCCAUGUCUCUCCCCAGAUAACCCAGUCCCCACCGUUUGUCUCUACUUCCCUUGUUCUUUCAUCCCCUCCUACCCCCACCGAAGUCAUAGAUCCAUGUUUUCUCCCUUCCCCCUGCAAAUAAAUAUUUAAAACAAAA